rnacentral:rRNA from 1 species
ACGAACGCUGGCGGCGUGCUUAACACAUGCAAGUCGAACGGAAAGGCCCUGCUUUUGUGGGGUGCUCGAGUGGCGAACGGGUGAGUAACACGUGAGUAACCUGCCCUUGACUUUGGGAUAACUUCAGGAAACUGGGGCUAAUACCGGAUAGGAGCUCCUGCUGCAUGGUGGGGGUUGGAAAGUUUCGGCGGUUGGGGAUGGACUCGCGGCUUAUCAGCUUGUUGGUGGGGUAGUGGCUUACCAAGGCUUUGACGGGUAGCCGGCCUGAGAGGGUGACCGGCCACAUUGGGACUGAGAUACGGCUCAGACUCCUACGGGAGGCAGCAGUGGGGAAUAUUGCACAAUGGGCGGAAGCCUGAUGCAGCAACGCCGCGUGCGGGAUGACGGCCUUCGGGUUGUAAACCGCUUUCGCCUGUGACGAAGCGUGAGUGACGGUAAUGGGUAAAGAAGCACCGGCUAACUACGUG